rnacentral:tRNA from 1 species
GGUGGCUUAGUGGUAGAGUGCUUGCCUAGCAUGCAGGAAGGCCUGGGUUCAAUUCCUCAGCACCA